rnacentral:rRNA from 1 species
UACGAAGGGGGCUAGCGUUGCUCGGAAUUACUGGGCGUAAAGGGCGCGUAGGCGGAUACUUAAGUCGGGGGUGAAAGCCCGGGGCUCAACCUCGGAAUUGCCUUCGAUACUGGGUAUCUUGAGUUCGGGAGAGGUGAGUGGAAUGCCGAGUGUAGAGGUGAAAUGCGUAGAUAUCGGGAGGAACACCUGUGGCGAAAGCGGCUCACUGGACCAUUACUGACGCUGAUGCUCGAAAGCUAGGGGAGCAAACAGG